AGGUGUUCGCGCACCGCAGUGGAUACAGGUAUGCCAGUUGCGUAUUGCCAGCCUCAUGUUUAUCAUGACGGUGGUCUUCGUAAAGCGCCCGUCAGGCAGACAACGCGCUCCUCCACCCCCCUCCCCCUAAAAAAAAAGUGAGAACGGCGAAGAUCAGCGCUGCUUUCGCGUGCGCGCGCACACACACAUACACAGACUGUCCGAUGAAAUCGAGACAUGCAUAGCUACGCAAGAGGGCUCGUUGAAACCUCCACGGAACACCCCAAGCGCAUCCCUGUCCCCUUUUUUGGCGUUAACAGCGCCGUGGCGCUAGACGCCGUCGCCUCAGCGGCGGUGGCCACGGCGUCGUUGGCGUCGCGCCUUCGUCGACUCCACUGGAAUGAGGUGAUAAGCCUCGUCCUCGACAGCGAUCCCUACUAUCACUGCAAGGAGGAAGCGGCUGUUGUGGCGGAGACCAACGAUGCGGCGUCGUUGCCUUCGCCGCCGCAGUAGCAGCAGCAUCCACCUCGUGGUUUACGCCUGUGCGGCAGAGCCUGCCCCGUUACGUGUUGUCUUCGAGCAAGACUCGCCUGCUAGUGCACGCCGGGGCGCUGAGCUACUUCGCCUACAUCGCCACCAACCUGCCCCGCCAUGUGCCGUGCUACUUGACCGUUGAGGGUGCCACCGGCUCCCCAUCGCAGCAGGGGGCUUCUGCCGCGACUUCAACGAUGACCUGCUUCGUCUACGAGAGCGCCGAGGGCAUGCAGCUUUUCAUGCAUGACGAGAUGCCGCGCUGGAACGCUCUCGCCCACGCGGCGGUGGGCACAACGCUGCUGUCACUCGUCAUCGCGCAAGCGGAGUCGGUUUGGUGCAUACGCUUCUCCCGCCGCCGCCAUCGCAGCAACCAGCGCAGCGACACGCCAACAGCCAAGAGGCGAGGAGUGGAGCUAGCUGGCAAGCACAGCCGCCGCCGACGGCCGAGCCAGAGCGUACUGCUGCCGAGCACGGCCGACACCAGGCGCGGCGUCAUGCCCUACUCGCCUUUGCUGCCAUCACGUGCGUCGGCUGCAUGGUCGCCAGCAGCGUGUCGCUGCGAUCGCACAGCGUGUUCUCCUCCCGUGUGGCGAGCAGGCGCGCCGGUGUGCCAAACUUCGCGUCUGCCAUGUCUGUCUUUGCAGCUCCGUGGGACGGGCUGGCGCCGGCAACCGGCAUUUCCGGCACGCAGGCGGCGUGUGUCGCGCACGCGAUGGUUGGAGGGCUACUCUUCAAGGCCGUCCUCGCUGUCCUGCUCGAGCGCGUGCUUUUGGCAGCAUCUGCCAGAGCCUCGCCGGGGUCAAGGUAGUGCUGCCGCCGCCGCGGUGGUUGAACGCGAAGGAGUCCUUUAGCGACGCCCGCGUGCCCGUCACGCGGCACGUCGAGGCGGAGCUGGAGACCAUGUACUACCGCAGCGUGGCGGCCACCGCGAUCUUGCUUGACAGCUGGGGUGCGGUGGACAUUGGUCGCGCUGUGCGGCUAGCGAACGCGUGGUUGGCGGCGACGGACGGCGGCGCUGAAGAAGGGCAGAAGACGCGGCACCCGCACUUGGAAGGGAUCGCCGCGCUGUGGGCGUUUCCGUCGCCUCCGAUGGCAAGGAUCUGUGUCGAAGGGGGGCGGGCGGGCGGGCGCCCGGCCAUUUUUGUGUGCUUGCUUCUCCAGUUUGGCUGCAAGACGAAGCCUGCGGUGAGGCAUGAAGGCGGAACACGAAGGGACGGUGGGUGCCCGCCAAUGUCGCGCGCGUCCUCUCUUUUAUGGUACCCUGAUGAUCCCUGUACUACGCCCGCCCCUCUCGGUGGCACAAGGGAGGGGAGCGGAGGGAGGCAGCGAGUAGGAAGGGGAGGGAGCCCUCAUCAUCGCAUCACAUGUAUUCCUUCGGCGCCCCCUCGUUCUUCUUCGCACGGCGUAUGUGUCUUGGAGAGAUGGACGGCGUCUGCAGCGCACGUCUGUUCCGUCGGCUCAUGUCCGCAGUUCUGCUCGUUUGACUUUUACGCGACAGACCCCCGCAGCUCUCCUCUCCCGCCUACUGCUUGAACUCUCUUCCUGUCAUUUUCUGACCGCAUCAUCGCCGUCGUCAGAGCGCCCGCCGCUCAUGAGGAGGCGGCGACGCGUCCACAUGCACCGGCGGAGCACACAGACGAAGCCCAACGACAU
rnacentral:misc_RNA from 1 species